AGCGAACGCUGGCGGCAGGCCUAAAACAUGCAAGUCGAACGCCUGUAGCAAUACAGGAGUGGCAGACGGGUGAGUAACACGUGGGAACGUACCCUUGGUUCGGAACAACACAGGGAAACUUGUGCUAAUACCGGAUAAGCCCUUACGGGGAAAGAUUUAUCGCCAGAGGAUCGGCCCGCGUCUGAUUAGCUUGUUGGUGAGGUAACGGCUCACCAAGGCUACGAUCAGUAGCGGUCUGAGAGGAUGAUCAGCCACACUGGGACUGAGACACGGCCCAGACUCCUACGGGAGGCAGCAGUUAGGAAUCUUGGACAAUGGGCGCAAGCCUGAUCCAGCCAUGCCGCGUGAGUGAUGAAGGCC
rnacentral:rRNA from 1 species